rnacentral:rRNA from 1 species
AGUGAACGCUGGCGGUAGGCCUAACACAUGCAAGUCGAACGGCAGCACAGUAAGAGCUUGCUCUUACGGGUGGCGAGUGGCGGACGUGUGAGGAAUACAUCGGAAUCUACUUUUUCGUGGGGGAUAACGUAGGGAAACUUACGCUAAUACCGCAUACGACCUACGGUUGAAAGCAGUGGAUCUUCGGACCUUGCGCGAUUGAAUGAGCCGAUGUCGGAUUAGCUAGUUGGCGGGGUAAAGGCCCACCAAGGCGACGAUCCGUAGCUGGUCUGAGAGGAUGAUAACCCACACUGGAACUGAGACACGGUCAAGACUCCUACGGGAGGCAGCAGUGGGGAAUAUUGGACAAUGGGCGCAAGCAUGAUCCAGCCAUACCGCGUGGGUGAAGAAGGCCUUCGGGUUGUAAAGCCCUUUUGUUGGGAAAGAAAAGCAGCAGGUUAAUACCCCGCUGUUCUGACGGUACCCAAAGAAUAAGCACCGGCUAACUUCGCG